rnacentral:rRNA from 1 species
GAUGAACGCUGGCGGCGUGCCUAAUACAUGCAAGUCGAGCGAACAGACGAGGAGCUUGCUCCUCUGACGUUAGCGGCGGACGGGUGAGUAACACGUGGAUAACCAACCUAUAAGACUGGGAUAACUUCGGGAAACCGGAGCUAAUACCGGAUAAUAUAUUGAACCGCAUGGUUCAAUAGUGAAAGACGGUUUUGCUGUCACUUAUAGAUGGAUCCGCGCCGCAUUAGCUAGUUGGUAAGGUAACGGCUUACCAAGGCAACGAUGCGUAGCCGACCUGAGAGGGUGAUCGGCCACACUGGAACUGAGACACGGUCCAGACUCCUACGGGAGGCAGCAGUAGGGAAUCUUCCGCAAAGGGCGAAAGCCUGACGGAGCAACGCCGCGUGAGUGAUGAAGGUCUUCGGAUCGUAAAACUCUGUUAUUAGGGAAGAACAAAUGUGUAAGUAACUAUGCACGUCUUGACGGUACCUAAUCAGAAAGCCACGGCUAACUACGUG